rnacentral:rRNA from 1 species
GAUGAACGCUAGCGGCAGGCUUAACACAUGCAAGUCGAGGGGUAACAGGGAUUGCUUGCAAUCCGCUGACGACCGGCGCACGGGUGCGUAACGCGUAUGCAACCUACCUUCUACAGGGGGAUAGUCAAUAGAAAUGUUGAAUAAUACCCCAUACGAUCAUGAAUUGGCAUCGAUUUAUGAGGAAAGUUCCGGCGGUAGAAGAUGGGCAUGCGUCCUAUUAGUUAGUUGGUAAGGUAACGGCUUACCAAGACAUCGAUAGGUAGGGGUCCUGAGAGGGAGAUCCCCCACACUGGUACUGAGACACGGACCAGACUCCUACGGGAGGCAGCAGUGAGGAAUAUUGGACAAUGGAGGCAACUCUGAUC